rnacentral:rRNA from 1 species
UAGGGAAUCUUCGGCAAUGGGGGGAACCCUGACCGAGCAACGCCGCGUGAGUGAAGAAGGUUUUCGGAUCGUAAAGCUCUGUUGUUAAGGAAGAACGAGUGUGAGAAUGGAAAGUUCAUACUGUGACGGUACUUAACCAGAAAGGGGCGGCUAACUACGUGCCAGCAGCCGCGGUAAUACGUAGGUCCCGAGCGUUGUCCGGAUUUAUUGGGCGUAAAGCGAGCGCAGGCGGUUAGAUAAGUCUGAAGUUAAAGGCAGUGGCUCAACCAUUGUAGGCUUUGGAAACUGUUUAACUUGAGUGCAGAAGGGGAGAGUGGAAUUCCAUGUGUAGCGGUGAAAUGCGUAGAUAUAUGGAGGAACACCGGUGGCGAAAGCGGCUCUCUGGUCUGUAACUGACGCGGAGGCUCGAAAGCGUGGGGAGCGAACAGG